CCCAUUUUAGCUAUGCUAGUCGAACGAGUUCACACUCGUGGCAGAUAGCUCAGUAACACGUGGCCAAGCUACCCUUCAGUCGGCAAUACCCUCGGGAAACUGAGGCUAAUGGCCGAUAUGAAACAGCCGCUGGAAUGCACUGUUUUCUAAAGACACCGCUGAAGGAUGCGGCUGCGGCCGAUUAGGUAGACGGUGGGGUAACGGCCCACCGUGCCAGUAAUCGGUACGGGUGAUGAGAGUCAGAGCCCGGAGACGGAAUCUGAGACAAGAUUCCGGGCCCUACGGGGCGCAGCAGGCGCCGAAACCUUUACACUGCACGGAAGUGCGAUAGGGGAAUCCCAAGUGCGAGGGCAUAUUAGCCCUCGCUUUUGUUGACUGUAAGGUGGUCAACGAAUAAGAGCUGGGCAAGACCGGUGCCAGCCGCCGCGGUAAUACCGGCAGCUCAAGUGAUGUCCCAUAUUAUUGGGCCUAAAGCGUCCGUAGCUGGCCAGCCAAGUCCAUCGGGAAAUCCACCUUGCCCAACGGGUGGGCGUCCGGUGGAAACUGGCUGGCUUGGAAACGGAAGGCUCAGAAAGUACGNNCGGGGUAGGAGUGAAAUCCCGUAAUACCNGGACGGACUACCNAUGGCGAAAGCACUCUUGANAAAACGGCUUCAACAGUNGAGGGAACAAAAGCUAGGGUCUUAAAACCGGAUUAAAANACCCCGGGNAGUCCUAGCUUGUAAAANGAUGCUCGUUAAG
rnacentral:rRNA from 1 species